rnacentral:lncRNA from 1 species
GUUCAAUAAGAAUCAUCAAUAAUUAAUUCUAAUAAUAUCUGAUCUAGCUAGAAUAGGUGCCUGCACACUGCCCAGUGACUAUGGAGCAAGAUCCCUUCAUUCGAGACAAUCAAACUCCUUGAAAGAAAGUUUUUUAUUAGAUCAAUCUUAGAGAAAAAACUUUAGAGAGAGAAAGUAGAGAGAAACAACUUUAGAGAGAGAAAGGUGUAAAGAGAUUGGCAAAAGCAUGUGAAGAGAGAGAGGGAAGGGAGAG